ensembl:snoRNA
CUGGCUCUGAAUCAAGGCCGGCAGCUUCCUGACGCUGUUGGUUUCAAGUAGGAGCCUAAAGGGAUGUCUUUCUAUGAUCUGUUGGCCAUUUCAGAACUUGGUCAAUUCAUUAGAAAGAAACAGCU